GUUGUAUGGUUAAGUGACUAAGCGUACACGGUGGAUGCCUUGGCAGUCAGAGGCGAUGAAAGACGUAGUAACUUGCGAUAAGCCCAGAUUAGGUAGUAACAACCAUUUGAGUCUGGGAUUUCUGAAUGGGGAAACCCACUUACAUAAGUAAGUAUCAUUAACUGAAUACAUAGGUUAAUGAGGCGAACCGGGGGAACUGAAACAUCUAAGUACCCCGAGGAAAAGAAAUCAACCGAGAUUCCGAAAGUAGCGGCGAGCGAAAUUGGACUAGCCCUUAAGCUUUACACGCGUUAGACGAACGGUCUGGAAAGUCCGACGAUACAGGGUGAUAGUCCCGUAGUCGACGACGUGUGUUCAGUGAAAUCGAGUAGGGCGGGACACGUGAUAUCCUGUCUGAAUAUGGGGGGACCAUCCUCCAAGGCUAAAUACUACUGACUGACCGAUAGUGAACCAGUACCGUGAGGGAAAGGCGAAAAGAACCCCUGUGAGGGGAGUGAAAUAGAACCUGAAACCGUGUACGUACAAGCAGUAGGAGCAGGCUUUGUCCUGUGACUGCGUACCUUUUGUAUAAUGGGUCAGCGACUUAUAUUCAGUGGCAAGGUUAACCAUCUAGGGGAGCCGUAGGGAAACCGAGUCUUAACUGGGCGUUCAGUCUCUGGAUAUAGACCCGAAACCAGGUGAUCUAGCCAUGGGCAGGUUGAAGGUUGAGUAACAUCAACUGGAGGACCGAACCGACUAAUGUUGAAAAAUUAGCGGAUGACUUGUGGCUAGGGGUGAAAGGCCAAUCAAACCUGGAGAUAGCUGGUUCUCCCCGAAAGCUAUUUAGGUAGCGCCUCGGACGAAUACUACUGGGGGUAGAGCACUGUUAAGGCUAGGGGGUCAUCCCGACUUACCAACCCUUUGCAAACUCCGAAUACCAGUAAGUACUAUCCGGGAGACACACGGCGGGUGCUAACGUCCGUCGUGGAGAGGGAAACAACCCAGACCGCCAGCUAAGGUCCCAAAUUACUACUAAGUGGGAAACGAUGUGGGAAGGCUCAGACAGCCAGGAUGUUGGCUUAGAAGCAGCCAUCAUUUAAAGAAAGCGUAAUAGCUCACUGGUCGAGUCGGCCUGCGCGGAAGAUGUAACGGGGCUAAGUAGUAAACCGAAGCUGCGGCAAUGUGCUUUUGCACAUUGGGUAGGGGAGCGUUCUGUAAGCGGUUGAAGGUGUGUGGUAACGCAUGCUGGACGUAUCAGAAGUGCGAAUGCUGACAUGAGUAACGAUAAAGGGGGUGAAAAACCUCCUCGCCGGAAGACCAAGGGUUCCUGUCCAACGUUAAUCGGGGCAGGGUAAGUCGACCCCUAAGGCGAGGCCGAAAGGCGUAGUCGAUGGGAAACGGGUUAAUAUUCCCGUACUUCUUACAAUUGCGAUGGGGGGACGGAGAAGGCUAGGUGGGCCUGGCGACGGUUGUCCAGGUUCAAGUGCGUAGGCUUAAGAGUUAGGUAAAUCCGGCUCUUUUUAAGGCUGAGACACGACGUCGAGCACCUACGGGUGUGAAGUCAUUGAUGCCAUGCUUCCAGGAAAAGCCUCUAAGCUUCAGAUUGUAAGGAAUCGUACCCCAAACCGACACAGGUGGUCGGGUAGAGAAUACCAAGGCGCUUGAGAGAACUCGGGUGAAGGAACUAGGCAAAAUGGUACCGUAACUUCGGGAGAAGGUACGCUCUUGAUGGUGAAGUCCCUCGCGGAUGGAGCUGACGAGAGUCGCAGAUACCAGGUGGCUGCAACUGUUUAUUAAAAACACAGCACUGUGCAAAAUCGUAAGAUGACGUAUACGGUGUGACGCCUGCCCGGUGCCGGAAGGUUAAUUGAUGGGGUUAGACUUCGGUCGAAGCUCUUGAUCGAAGCCCCGGUAAACGGCGGCCGUAACUAUAACGGUCCUAAGGUAGCGAAAUUCCUUGUCGGGUAAGUUCCGACCUGCACGAAUGGCGUAAUGAUGGCCACGCUGUCUCCACCCGAGACUCAGUGAAAUUGAAAUCGCUGUGAAGAUGCAGUGUACCCGCGGCUAGACGGAAAGACCCCGUGAACCUUUACUACAGCUUGGCACUGAACAUUGACCCUACAUGUGUAGGAUAGGUGGGAGGCUUUGAAGCACGUACGCCAGUAUGUGUGGAGCCGUCCUUGAAAUACCACCCUUGUAGUGUUGAUGUUCUAACGUCGACCCCUAAUCGGGGUUGCGGACAGUGCCUGGUGGGUAGUUUGACUGGGGCGGUCUCCUCCCAAAGAGUAACGGAGGAGCACGAAGGUGGGCUAAUCACGGUUGGACAUCGUGAGGUUAGUGCAAUGGCAUAAGCCCGCUUGACUGCGAGAAUGACAAUUCGAGCAGGUGCGAAAGCAGGUCAUAGUGAUCCGGUGGUUCUGAAUGGAAGGGCCAUCGCUCAACGGAUAAAAGGUACUCCGGGGAUAACAGGCUGAUACCGCCCAAGAGUUCAUAUCGACGGCGGUGUUUGGCACCUCGAUGUCGGCUCAUCACAUCCUGGGGCUGAAGUCGGUCCCAAGGGUAUGGCUGUUCGCCAUUUAAAGUGGUACGCGAGCUGGGUUUAGAACGUCGUGAGACAGUUCGGUCCCUAUCUGCCGUGGGCGUUGGAAGAUUGAAGGGGGCUGCUCCUAGUACGAGAGGACCGGAGUGGACGAACCUCUGGUGUUCGGGUUGUGUCGCCAGACGCAUUGCCCGGUAGCUAAGUUCGGAAUCGAUAACCGCUGAAAGCAUCUAAGCGGGAAGCGAGCCCUGAGAUGAGUCUUCCCUGAUACUUUAAGUAUCCUAAAGGGUUGUCGGAGACUACGACGUUGAUAGGUCAGGUGUGUAAGUGCUGUGAGGCAUUGAGCUAACUGAUACUAAUUGCCCGUGAGGCUUAACCAUACAACACCCAAGGGGUUU
rnacentral:rRNA from 1 species